UACGUAGGGGGCAAGCGUUGUCCGGAAUUAUUGGGCGUAAAGCGCGCGCAGGCGGUUAUUUAAGUUUGGUGUUUAAGGCCGGGGCUCAACCCCGGAACGCCCUGAAAACUGGGUCACUGGAGUGCAGGAGAGGGAAGUGGAAUUCCACGUGUAGCGGUGAAAUGCGUAGAGAUGUGGAGGAACACCAGUGGCGAAGGCGACUUUCUGGCCUGUAACUGACGCUGAGGCGCGAAAGCGUGGGGAGCAAACAGG
rnacentral:rRNA from 1 species